rnacentral:rRNA from 1 species
UCCGGCGACUAUAGCAUAGGGGAAACACCCGUUCCCAUUUCGAACACGGCAGUUAAGACCUAUUGCGCCGAUGAUAUUGCGCGGGAGACCAGCGUGAGAAAGUAGGUCAUCGCCGGGA